GAAGUUUUUGCUAUGCCUUCAGUUCUGUCACAGUCUUUAGAGGUGUUUUUGUCUAACUCUCCCUCAGGAUCACACCAAAAAGCCUUGGUCAUUCAGCAUGGUGCCUGACCUUCAGCAAAUAUUGGGAGCCUCCGAUUCCUGCUGCUUCUAGUCUGCCAUCUUUGCCACACCCCCAGAAAAUUCUGACUAUUCAAUUUCUACUAUACCAAAAUUAGACUCCUCCUCCCGCUAAGGAAAAGUGGUGACAACAUGGGCAUAUGGACAUUCAUUCCCACCUUCAGCAGAGGGAGGAUAUGUGUUUUGAGAAAUGGUACUAGAGCAAUUCAACAUAGAAGAAAAGAAGAGAAGAUGAAGGAGAAGAGGAGGAAGAGGAAGAGGAAGAAGGAGGAGGAGGAGGAAGAAG
rnacentral:lncRNA from 1 species